GAUGAACGCUGACAGAAUGCUUAACACAUGCAAGUCCACUUGAACUUCGGUUUGGGUGGCGGACGGGUGAGUAACGCGUAAAGAACUUGCCUCACAGAUAGGGACAACAUUUGGAAACGAAUGCUAAUACCUGAUAUUAUGAUUAUAUGGCAUCGUAUAAUUAUGAAAACUAUAUGCGCUGUGAGAGAGCUUUGCGUCCCAUUAGCUAGUUGGAGAGGUAACGGCUCACCAAGGCGAUGAUGGGUAGCCGGCCUGAGAGGGUGAUCGGCCACAAGGGGACUGAGACACGGCCCUUACUCCUACGGGAGGCAGCAGUGGGGAAUAUUGGACAAUGGACCAAGAGUCUGAUCCAGCAAUUCUGUGUGCACGAUGAAGUUUUUCGGAAUGUAAAGUGCUUUCAGUUGGGAAGAAAAAAAUGACGGUACCAACAGAAGAAGUGACGGCUAAAUACGUG
rnacentral:rRNA from 1 species